rnacentral:lncRNA from 1 species
CACAAUCUUGUGAGCCAUGGCUUUCUCUAAGAACUUCCAUGCAAUGGGCACAUUGUUAUCCCAACAAAUGUGAGAUACCAGAAGGUUGGCUAGUUCAGAAGAAGGUAAAGAAACCCCCAAAGAACUCAACUUUGAGGACACUUUAAUUGCCCACAAUAAUGGGUCGCAGCCCUGUUCUUGGGACGCCUUGGUUAGUUCCAAGACACCGUUCCAGGGGUUGAGGUACAACUGCGAGCACAUCUCCAUUACGAAGCUUACAGGAUCAUAAUCUAUGUCUCUGUGUGUUCAUAUGGGGUUGUUUAUGUGCGCGCGCGCGCGCGUUAGAUGAUUGUAUGGUGAAAGAUAUUAUUCGUUUGAACAGAGAGGUUGGUGCGCCGAUUGGUGCGAUGUGGUUGAUCCAAAUGUUAAAGUUGAACUGAAAAGUUGGCUAAUGGAGUUCCGGGGAAAAGAAACACUUAAAUAUGGGAGCGUGUGUCAAUAAUGCCAUGAAUCACCACAUGAACCAGCUUAGUUGGCAUUGAACUCCACCAUUUUUAAAUAUCUUUUUCUUUAAACAUUUUCAAACGUAUUUCAUGAAUUCAUAAUUUGUCUUUAAUUUUUAACUACAAUUCUCCAAAAAAAUUACUUUUUAAGUGAAAAUCUCUUCCUCCUAAAUAAACGCUAAAAUAUUUUAAGAUUUAGGAAAAUUAUAUUUGAGGUUCCAAACCUUUUACUUAAUUGUAAACCACACCUAAAUUUUUCACUUAUUGCAAUCAUAGUCAGAAACCUUGCAUUUCAUUGCAGUUGUAAAACAAAUGAUCGUUUGUUGGCCAAAAUUGAUCCUCAAUCCGAAUGAAGUAAUUUUAUAAAAACUUAUCGCAAUUAAAUUGACCUCAACUCAAAAUGAAUUCAGAUAGAAUAAUAUAUAUAUAUAUAUAUAUAUAUAUUGUGUGCUAGAUUUUGAUUUCAAAUAGAAUACAUAUUAAUGGUCUGAGGUAGGUAGAGAUGAUGACAAGCUAAUAUCCCAAUUAUAGUAUAUAUAUAUAUAUAUAUAUAUAUAUAUAUAUAUAUAUAUUGUGUGCUAGAUUUUGAUUUCAAAUAGAAUACAUAUUAAUGGUCUGAGGUAGGUAGAGAUGAUGACAAGCUAAUAUCCCAAUUAUAGUCGGCCUCGUGAUGAUAUUGCUUAGUUUUAGAAUUAAUUAAAAGCAACUUUUUGUAUCAAUGAGGACAAGUAUAGUUGUGUUUGUGGCAUCUUUAUAUUAUAGCUUGUUCAUGAUGGUAACUUGGUUGGUAAGCACUACUUGCUCAUGGCCAAUAUGUAAAUAUCAUGCCAAAUGGAAUUAUGGGUCCAUCAUUAGUCAAAUUCAUCAAAUUUAUUUGCUCGAAUCCGACAAAUUUCAAUGUUCUAGUUUCAUAUAUUUUUUGCUCGAAAAUGUCUUUUUACAAAUAAUCGAUUUCGAUAAUUCUUCCUAUCAAAUUACUAUGUUAAUGGAGAUAAAAAUAAAAAUACAAAUUUUUAGAUGAGAUUAAUUGCAACCUAGAAAGCGAAACCCCACUUUGGGAAGCUUUGCUUCGGUCAUGGUAAAAGUUACAAUAAAAUGAUAAGAUCUUAAAAAAUAUAUUCAGACUUCUACCCAACCGAGUCUCCCAUAACUUAGCUUAUUAUUUUUUUAAAAAGUACUAUUCUUUACCUUACAUUAGUGUUACGGCUAUUGUUGAAAAAAGUGGCACGAAUUUCGUGUAUGCUUCUAUUAUGUUUUGCAAUUGUUAUAUAAUUAUUUUUUUCGGGUUACGAGAAAUUAAGGUGGACAAGACACUAAAUCUCCAUACAUUUUAAUACAUUUCCUUGUAAUUCAUAUAUUUUCAGUUUUAGGUUAAGAAAAUUCAACGGUGAAUUUUAAUCGGUGGAGUUAGUAUUUUACAGGCUUUCAAUCACUUUCGUAAUCUCUCUCAUCCUUUGAGAACGCUAAUUUAUAUACUGUUUAUGGUGUUGAUUCGUAGAGGUAAAGAGAGAAAGCUGUAAAAAAUUGACAUAAUGCCAAAAAGAACAAAGAAAGAUAUAUGAUGGUUAAGUUUGUCUUUGUUUACAAGAUAUUCAAAGAAUUAUUGCAAUUUUACAUUGUGAGAGAAAUAUAAUAUAAUGUAUCCAAUGCAAAUAUUAGUUGUUACAUCUACUUUAAUUUAUUUAUAAAGUAUUAAUAUUUAUAAGAAAAUAUAUUGGGUUAUACGUUUCAAUAAUCCACAAGAAAUAUCAAUAGCUGCCUCAUGUAUAGGUCUAGUUGGUAUGACUAACCAACCAAUAAUAUGUUAUAAUUGGUUGGCCCUAAGAUAGGAAUUGACUUCUUACCAUUUUUAUUUUUAUUUUUUUUUUCAUUUUUGGCAAUUUUUUUGUGAAGAAGCAAUGGACAUUGUACAUGUAAAUCAAAACUAAUAUGGCAUAUUGCUUUAAAUCAAAUAAUAGAUGUAAUAAUGAAUAGACAGAAGCGACAAAAAAGAAUUCAUGUAAAUGAUUAUAUAAUUCAAUAUCAAUAGUGAAUGUUCAUGAUUGCAAAAAAUUUCUUGUUUAGAGAGAAAUAAUUCUUAAAAACAUACGACAAUUUUACUAUACUAAUUGCACACUUGAGAUCAAAUGAAAUGAUAUUUUUCAAAUAAUGUUUAUAUUACAAUGAAGCAAAAACGAAGUGACUAAAUGUCAUCAUCCAAUUUGAACUCAUAACUCUUUGAAUCACCAUGCAAGCUUGUCACAAGAGAAGCCUUCUAAUAAUCUCCCACCCUUCUCUCUCAAAGAAGUUAAGAUUUUCCUUUGUUAAACCGGAAUGAAGAUUACAAAAAAAAAAAAAAAAAAAAAAAUUUAAAAAAUUAACUUUAAAAAAAAAAAAAAGUUUCAUGUUAAUCACUUAACAUCACUUAGGUUAGGCUACCACGUGUCACACUUUAUUAGAGAACAUUUAACCGAGUGACAAAAUUGAAAUGAAAAGCAACUUCAGUAACAACUUCAAAACAAAAUAAAGUUCAGAAACUAAAAUGAAAUUUCGUUAUUAGCUGAGUGGCUAACAAUGUUUUUAAUCCUAAAAGUCACAAAAAUUAAAAAACGAUUCUGUGACAAGAAUAUAUGCAGCCACAGAACAACACAUAUCGAGUGGUUUACCAGCUCCAUCAAGCCACUAACAAGCAAUGUUAAGACGAUUUGAUAGAUUCAUGAAACAACCAACUAUUAAGGAGCCUUUUCUUAAACAUUUAAAACACAUGCAAAAUGUUCCUCAUAAUUACCAUAAUUCACAAAGUAUCAGAUUAUUGAUUGAGUUUAUACUUGUAAUGCUAUAAAUUCCAUCCAAUCAAAAGGGGUUUUCAACAUGGGUAAAUGGAGCAAAACGUCUCUACCUUUCAAACUUAUUGUGGAAAACGUUAUUACCUUUUAUUUUUAGACAUUUUUGCCCAUAUUUCCACAUUUUUUUGCGCUAAACGUCUUUUUUACCAUUUUUUGACUUAAAAUGACCAAAAUACCCUUCUAUUUAAACCAAAAAAUAAAAAUAAAAAAUUGCAACUAUAAUCCCAAACUUUCAAUAUGUGCAAAUCAGCCCAAAAAUGAAAAAAAGGUCACCAAACCAAAUCGACCACCACUUUGAAGCCAAAAAACUCCGGCCAACCACCGCCAAAACCAUCUGACCUCCUUACUGUCGGAUAGCCCUCACUUCCCUCUACACAUAUCCAAUUACCAUGCCAACAAAUUUGGUAGAAAUCGCAAGCCAAAAUAUCAAAUUCGCAAAUGCAAAUACGGGGUGGCACCACCUGUUCCGACAAGACUCAUGCCAUUUGUAAAGCACUAAAACAAGUACAUAUAUCAAUUUUUUACUGAGGUUUAUGACAGAAAUCACUUCACCAGCAAUCAUUUCAAUUGCACUAGUAGCAUAAACUUGAUAACCAUCCAUAGCAUCUUCUAGGAGCAAAUCAAGAGGAAGCCAAAAAGCAGAACGACCAACUCCAAGACAGAGACCAGCAGAAUCAUUCAGGGGCGUGGAUUGUAGUAUACCAUGAAACUCUUGCAAGGAAUUUUUCAAGCAAUAAUGAGACAUGUUUUUUUGCUUAUCUGAUAUCAAAUGUAAAAGACCAUCUGGUGUCAUAACUUCUGAAUUUCUCAAGGCUAAUGAAUUUUUUGCGAGCAGUUGAAUUCGCAGGAUAAAACCUCCCCAUUCCAUAGACCUAGCAGAGGGACAAACAAGUUAUUAUGCCAUAACAGUAUUGGGAUGAUCUCAGAAUGAUACAUUGGAGCCUAGAAACAAAUUGAUAAUAAUGUAUAAACCUCGGGCGAAGGCUAUUAUUAGAGGUGUCAGAUUGAUAGGUUCCCUCUAAAUAUAAACCCAACUAUAUAGUUCACAUUACUUUUACAUUAUUUAUUUCUAUGAUUCAUCAAACUCCAUAUGGAUUUGUAAUCAUGUAAACUAAAUGGUAUGUGCUUGAUGUGAGGCGCAAAAAAUGACUCAUCGCCAAUUUACUUCCGCUGACCACAUAUAAAAUAGUAUAGUCAAAUAAAGGCAGAGAAACUUCUAAAUUAAACUUCAAAGAAGGAUAGAGUUCUGACAUGUUUUGGCGUGCCAAGUAAAGAAUUCUGGAAGUUACUUUAUUUUUGAGAAACUUCCCAAUCAACUCUAUAGCCAUAACGGUAUUAUAAGCCUUCAAUCUCUCUCUAUGUUCAUUCUUCUUCUCAUUAUAACUAUCAUCGCGAUCUACAUCCAUGUCUUGUGUUUCAGUCGGCCAUUUAGAUUGCUUCUCUGGAGUAAGCUGCAGCAGUCCCUCAUCAUCUAAUGAUGCAUCAACUAACUGCCAGACAAUUGAAAACACGAACUGGACCAAAUGAACACCGGGCUCAUUCGUUUGCAGAGUAAAUAUCUGAGAGAAAUUAAGGAUAGUAUCCAAUGAAUUCAUGAUCCUACAUUGAGACGAGAGGUCAGAAAACAUAUAUCACUCAACAUUUAAUUCAAGCAGAAAAACAAAAAUGAUCAAAGUAAAUGAUAAAAACAGAUUUGUCCUACUAAAAUCUUUUACAUUAUAAGUGAAAGCCUUUAUGUGGCCUCUGUUGUAACAUAUCAUUGAUACGAUCUUAAAGAAAUUAGGAUGAGAUAUAAGUCAGGAACAAAGAAUUUUCUGAUUCGAGUCAGGCCAGCUUGACAUCUAAAUUCGUCAGCCAGCAAUAUAGACAGUAUAUCAUAUUUUUAUUGCCCAAAAUCCCAGUGUCAUAAAUCCGAGUUCUAACAAUGCUCUUAGUUGAUGUCAUUCUCUAUGACUAUAUGCCUCAUUACUGGUUAAAAACAAUGAAAGUACUCAUGUAAUGUGUCACUACUUAGCUCUCUGAUUAUUCAGAGAAUGAUUCAAGUACUACAUCACAAGGGAAAAUGAACCAACCAAGAGGUUUGAAAGUAACCACUGGAUACACCACCUGCAGUUUCAUAUGGCCUCCAACAAAUGUUCUUUUUUGCUAGUUCAGAAACAACCACCCACAUUAAACUAGAAUGAAGAAGGUGAUUUGCUAAAAAUAAGGUUAAAUGGUGUUUUCUUAGAGCUUUACAAAUUGAAAAAAGGAACUAAGCAACUUAGCAUGAAUAAUAGAGAUCAAUAAAACUGUUAUAAUUCAGACCAUAUCUGAAACCACUUUGUUAUAAAAAGGGGAGGCGAAUAUGACAUAAUAUGAGGUAUAUGAUCGCACACAAAAAACAAGAUUAAAAGCAAACAAUAGAUUGAUAGAGGAACCGAGUAUUUUAUUCAACGACCAAAGGAGAAAAUAAUAUUGUUACAACAAUCUUAGCAAUACUUAAACUGAAUGAAGAAUCUACUAUUUAUAGAGGUAUGUCAAAACCCUAAAAGUAACCUAAAAGAUGGAAAUUAGGUCAAAAUACGCGUAAAACUGACAAAAGGAGAAAACCUCGCGCAACACCGUCACUCGAGUGCCGUCUGGAGUGAGGCGAGCGACUGCCGUGUCGACGAACUUGGGCGACAACUUCCUGCUCCAAAUGUUCGCCUACUGCCCAAGCAGCCAGCUAGCGAAAAUGCGGCGACCUUUCUUUCCGAUCCAUAAUUUUGAUCUCUCAAAGACCACUACUCCAAACCACGUAACCCUAAACCGAAUUUGGAUUACAAACCCAACAAAAACUAAAUAUGAGCUUGAUAAAGCAUCACACCCAAUAAAGUUGUGGCGUCAUUCUCACUACUUAAAAAUAACAAACACUCAUCUUUGGUAAGGGAAUCGAUGUGUAAUGUUUAAAAUAGUACAUAGAGAAAUAUAUGUUGACAGCAGACAAUAAAAACGGCUUUGGUAAAAAUUAAAUACUCACUUCUGAUAUUCUGGCAGAGUUGAAUAUCGUUUAAGCGUGAAGGCAUGUCUUUCAAGGAGUUCCAUAUAAAGCCUAAAUGCUGCUGGAUGAGAAUGCCGAUAUGGCAUUACCCUGUUAAAAAGUUAAGAAACAAUGAUACAGUUCAAUUUGUGCCAAAGUGAGAAAUCAAAUGCAGAAACAUUAAAAAAUUGUAUUCUUUUGAUUAAGUGUUUUGUUGAAUAUCUAACAGGUUGAAUCCCUCUGUUUAACACCAUAGACUCAAAUUGCAUUGCCAGUAAAGAGAUUAUACAUCCGUCAUAAUGAGUUUGCAGGUAGUUCACAACAGGAUGAAUUUAUCUGCCUCUACAUUAUCGAUGAAAAAUGUUAAUUAAAAAUAAUAAUAAUAAUAAUUGUUACUUCAGCAUUCAAUACUAAAGCAAAAAUACAUGAUACAAACAGGACAACAUAAUCAGUGGAAUGUAUUGCCAAAUCUAAUUACAACAUUCAUUUAAAAUAUGUUAAAAAUAGGCAGCUAAGACAUGUUUGAUGCCAUAAACAGAAAAUAACAGCUCCUACAAAAGAUGAUAUUGAAUGCACCUCACUAAUAUAGAAAUCAAUAACACAAUGUCAAAGACUUGAGCAAAAGCGAUUCUAGAUUCUUAUUACAAAGAAAGAAUCAAUCUUGUACCUCUUGAAAGAUGGAAACAACUGUUACAUCUCACAAUAAAAACAUACACAAAUUGAAAAUACAUUUCAAAAUAAAAACAAACACAAAUUGAAAAAUGUCGAAAUAAGUACUGUUUUAAAAAGUACCUGACAUCAUUGAACAGAAUACUUACCAUUAGUAAAAGAAAAAAUCAUUAAUUUCAAAAAUGAGUUAAUGAAUAAUCAAUGAAAUAUUUUAAAUCAGAUUGAACGCAGCAGCAUCCUUCCAAUUCAAGUAUUCAUCAUUAUUUUUUACAAGGGACCCACAAAUUAAAAUGGAAUCCAACCCACAUCAAUGUAAUGAUAGUUAAUACAGAUAAAUUCUCACUCCAUUAUCAAUCGAGCACCAAAACCACCAAAUCCAGUAUCAACUAAAACUAUUUGAAAAUGCACAACGACAUAAAUAGCAAGCAUUUUCAAGAACAAAACAGCACUAAAGAUUGAAACACCUAAAACCUGUUGAGUGAGUCAUCUGAGAACAAGUAUUGGGAGUAAAACCUGAUACACUAUAAAAUUGAUUUACCAAGGAACAAAAGAAAGUAAAGGUUGACAGUUUCAGACAAACACGUGUAAUUAAAGCGGAAAAAAGAGCGAAGACCAGAAACUAGAGAGGAACCUUGUGGAGAGGAGGCCCAAAACGAGUAACGAAGGCACAAUCUUGUGAGCCAUGGCUUUCUCUAAGAACUUCCAUGCAAUGGGCACAUUGUUAUCCCAACAAAUGUGAGAUACCAGAAGGUUGGCUAGUUCAGAAGAAGGUAAAGAAACCCCCAAAGAACUCAACUUUGAGGACACUUUAAUUGCCCACAAUAAUGGGUCGCAGCCCUGUUCUUGGGACGCCUUGGUUAGUUCCAAG